UCUUUCUUUGCUGGCGGCCGGCGCACGGGUGAGUAACACGUAUCCAACCUGCCCUUUACUCGGGGAUAGCCUUUCGAAAGAAAGAUUAAUACCCGAUAGCAUAAUGAUUCCGCAUGGUUUCAUUAUUAAAGGAUUCCGGUAAAGGAUGGGGAUGCGUUCCAUUAGGUUGUUGGUAGGGUAACGGCCCACCAAGCCUUCGAUGGAUAGGGGUUCUGAGAGGAAGGUCCCCCACAUUGGAACUGAGACACGGUCCAA
rnacentral:rRNA from 1 species